AGUGACUGAGCCCAGGGCUGUGCAGUCCGACGCCGACUGAGGCACGAGCGGGUGACGCUGGGCCUGCAGCGCGGAGCAGAAAGCAGAACCGGCAGAGUCCUCCCUGCUGCUGUGUGGACGACACCCUUUCCGUAAGGAAGGGCUUCUGCGAGGCCCCCGGCAACAGGACCCAGAGUGGCAACCACCCUGAGGACUGGCCUGUGUACCAGCAGGGCUGCAUGGAGAAGGUGCAGGCGUGGCUGCAGGAGAACCUGGGCAUCAUCCUCGGCGUGGGCGUGGGUGUGGCGGUCAUUGAGCUCCUGGGGAUGCUCCUGUCCAUCUGCUUGUGCCGGCACGUCCAUUCCGAAGACUACAGCAAGGUCCCCAAGUACUGAGCCAGCUGCUAUCCCCAUCUCCCUGCCUGGCCCCUGACCUCAGGGCUCCCAGGGGUCUCCCUGGCUCCCUCCUCCAGGCCUGCCUCCCACUUCACUGCGAAGACCCUCUUGCCCACCCUGACUGAAAGUAGGGGGCUUUCUGGGGCCUAGCGAUCUCUCCUGGCCUAUCCGCUGCCAGCCUUGAGCCCUGGCUGUUCUGUGGUUCCUC
rnacentral:sRNA from 1 species